rnacentral:rRNA from 1 species
UACGGAGGGUGCAAGCGUUAUCCGGAUUCACUGGGUUUAAAGGGUGCGUAGGCGGGCAGGGAAGUCCGUGGUGAAAUCUCCGAGCUUAACUCGGAAACUGCCGUGGAUACUCUCUGUCUUGAAUACUGUGAAGGUGAGCGGAAUAUGUCAUGUAGCGGUGAAAUGCUUAGAUAUGACAUAGAACACCAAUUGCGAAGGCAGCUCACUGCGCAGUGAUUGACGCUGAGGCACGAAAGCGUGGGGAUCAAACAGG